rnacentral:rRNA from 1 species
GACAAACGCUGGCGGCGUGCCUAACACAUGCAAGUCGAACGGAGACAAUAGCAAUGUUGUCUUAGUGGCGGACGGGUGAGUAAUGCGUGAGCAACCUGCCUUUCAGAGGGGGACAACAGUUGGAAACGACUGCUAAUACCGCAUAAUGUAUAUUCAAGGCAUCUUGAAGAUACCAAAGAUUUAUCGCUGAAAGAUGGGCUCACGUCUGAUUAGCUAGUUGGUGAGGUAACGGCUCACCAAGGCUGCGAUCAGUAGCCGGACUGAGAGGUUGAACGGCCACAUUGGGACUGAGAUACGGCCCAGACUCCUACGGGAGGCAGCAGUGGGGAAUAUUGGGCAAUGGGGGAAACCCUGACCCAGCAACGCCGCGUGAAGGAAGAAGGCUUUCGGGUUGUAAACUUCUUUUACCAGGGACGAAACAAAUGACGGUACCUGGAGAAUAAGCCACGGCUAACUACGUG